AUGCACAAAGCUAUGAGUGCAAACAUGAAGCGUGCAUUGGUGUGUGUGCUGAUGGCUGCUUGGAGCCUUGGAUGUGGCAGCCAGACGGUGCACCAGCCAGCAGAGAAUGUGUACGCCAUGAAAGGCGACUCAAUGAGGCUGGAUUGCAGCUAUGAAAACUUUGGAAUCAACAACUACAUCUUCUGGUACAAACAGGACGGGGAGGCAGCACCAAAGAUCAUCCUGAGCCUCUCAAUAAUGGGUCAGGGCAAGACUGAGAGCAGCUUUGAAAAGAGGUUCAGCUGCAACAUCAAUGACACCGCCAAGCGAGCUCCUCUGAAAAUCCAAUACGUGCAGCUGAGCGACUCUGCUGUCUUCUACUGCGCCAUUCAGUCCACAAUGACUGACAGCUCUGUUGCACCCACACAAAAACCUCUGGAGGCUCCUCAUCCCACUGUGGCUGUUUGAGAGCUGGUUCUGAGGAGGUUUUCACAGCUUUUGUCAUUUACAGGACAUCACAGGGGUAGCAAACUCACCAGACUCCAAAAGUUUGCUGGACUUAACCGUUAAUUUGUACAUUCCUUAAUCAGUCCCUCCAGGAUUUCACAAUGUUUCCAAUUCACGCAAGUUCAACCAUUAAGCGCGCCCCUUAACUGUUAAAAAAAAAACAUCUGUUGUCAAAUCUCUCAUAAUGAUUGUGCACAAAAAAAAAAAAAAAAAAAAAAAAAAAAAGCAGUUUCACUUUAAGACACAAUUACACAUAAUAUCUAGUAAUGUCAAACAUGUUGAUUAACGGUCCAGUAGAAUUAGGUGUUGUCCUUGUGUUGGAGUGUAACCUUUACUCACACCCAUCAUUUUAAAUAGAGCUUGUGCUGCUUUUUCACUCU